rnacentral:rRNA from 1 species
CCCUACGGGGCGCAGCAGUAGGGAAUCUUCCACAAUGGACGAAAGUCUGAUGGAGCAACGCCGCGUGAGUGAAGAAGGGUUUCGGCUCGUAAAGCUCUGUUGGUAGUGAAGAAAGAUAGAGGUAGUAACUGGCCUUUAUUUGACGGUAAUUACUUAGAAAGUCACGGCUAACUACGUGCCAGCAGCCGCGGUAAUACGUAGGUGGCAAGCGUUGUCCGGAUUUAUUGGGCGUAAAGCGAGUGCAGGCGGUUUCAUAAAGCUGAUGGUGAAGCCCU